UCCCUGGUGGCUCAGAUGGUAAAGCAUCUGCCUGCAAUGCGGAAGACCCGGGUUCAAUCCCUGGGUCGGGAA
rnacentral:tRNA from 1 species